AGUGAACGCUGGCGGUAGGCCUAACACAUGCAAGUCGAACGGCAGCACAGGAGAGCUUGCUCUCUCGGUGGCGAGUGGCGGACGGGUGAGGAAUACAUCGGAAUCUGCCCAGUCGUGGGGGAUAACGUAGGGAAACUUACGCUAAUACCGCAUACGACCUUCGGGUGAAAGAGGGGGAUCGCAAGACCUCUCGCGAUUGGAUGAGCCGAUGUCGGAUUAGCUAGUUAGCGGGGUAAUGGCCCACCAAGGCGACGAUCCGUAGCUGGUCUGAGAGGAUGAUCAGCCACACUGGAACUGAGACACGGUCCAGACUCCUACGGGAGGCAGCAGUGGGGAAUAUUGGACAAUGGGCGCAAGCCUGAUCCAGCCAUACCGCGUGGGUGAAGAAGGCCUUCGGGUUGUAAAGCCCGUUUGUUGGGAAAGAAAUCUUUCAGGCUAAGACCCUGGGAGGAUGACGGUACCCAAAGAAUAAGCACCGGCUAACUUCGUG
rnacentral:rRNA from 1 species